UUUUAUCAACCGAUAUGUAUGACCGGA
rnacentral:ncRNA from 2 species